CCAAUGGUGGUUUGGUGGUAGAAUUCUCACCUUCCAUGUAGGAGACCUGGGUUCAAUUCCCAGCCAGUGCA
rnacentral:tRNA from 1 species